GCCUGGCUAGGGCUUCACCCUCCGGCUUGUGCCCACGAACCUAGGUGAGGACAGGCACUCCUGCCUUUGGGCCCAAAUGUUGCAUUUUCCAAAACCACCCUGGCCCACCACGCCCCCAUCCUGGGCCGAUAAAAACUGAGACUCUAGCAGGCAGAUACACAAGCGUCUGGACGUCCAGAGGAGGGGAUCAGCGGAAGAAGACACAAGCAGCCGGACAUCGAGAGGAUGUCGAGGGGAGCAUGCCAGUGGAAGAGCACAUGACAGACACUGGCAGGACAGCAGGCCAUUGACUGGAGGAACGAUGUGGAGUUUAGCGAGAUCAGGUGGAGGAGAGCACGGGCCGCUAAGCAGAGGGACCCCUGGUGCAUCUCCCGUCUGGCUCCCCCAUCUGCUGAGAACUACUUCUACUCAGUAAAACCUCGGACUCAUUCUCCAAGCCCUCGCGUGAUCUGAUUCUUCCGGUACACCACGGCAGGAAACCCUGGGAUACAGAAAUCCCCCCGUCGUUGUGGAUUUUAGAAUGCCAAGCUGACAUUUUGAGUUGUUACGAGAAACCAGAAAAUUGGUGUGAAGACCCUAAGUGGUGCGUCUGACUUACAGCAGGCCCACAGCAAAUAUAUUGGAGACUUCUCAACUUUCUGCUUCUGAUGAUCUCAACUUGUGGUACGGCAAAAGGAGAGCAAAAUGUUCACCCAGGAAUGAGAAGUCCUGGCAGCUGAGUCAUGAUCCCCCAGGAGCCGUUAAGAAGUUCAUCUUCAGUCACUUCCAUCCAAACAGAAGAAAACCCAUGAAGGAUGAGAACUAUGGGUCCUGAGAAUGACAGGUAAUUGGUGCCACUUUAUUCACAGAAUCCAAUAAAUAGUACUC